rnacentral:misc_RNA from 1 species
AAUCCCAUAGACGACAGUAUUAACGUGUGGCUAAAACUCCUACCUGCAGCUUAUCAAUCGACAUAAACGCCACAGAUAUAAAUGCCAACACCCUUCCCCCUUUGAAGUGAAUCAGAAAGAAGAAAAAAAUGAGGGUCAGGUUGCACAUUUCAGACAUAACUGGUAGUGUCUAUGACUACCCUAGCUCCAAACAAAAUUUGAGUACUUUUUUUGCAAUUACCAGUGUUCAAAAUUGAAAUUUUUUUGCAGUAUCCCAAUUGGAUACCAACAUUUUAAAAUCUGGUAUCCUACCUGAGAAUUUAGUAUCCCACUUUUGGAUGUGGUAACCUGAUAUUCAAAUAUGAAGCAAGCCAAUUUUAAUUUUAGUAAAUAGAAAAAGGCUGUAUUGGUUGAAAAAAUAAUGGCUACUUGCCUUUUCUGUGUAUUUCAGGGAUCACACCGUUAUUUCAGCCAAUGAGCCACGUGUAGGCGACGAAUUUAGUUCCAUGAAAAAGAGUACCUCUUUUCUUUAUUUUAUUAGGAACUCGCCUGCCUGUGCACCACCUCCAGUUGAGAUCCGUGUUGGUCGGAGAAGUCUAAUGUCACUGGGAAUUCCAUCCGCAUCCUUGACCAUGUAUGACUGUCUAUCACAAUGGUGUACCACAGUGUUGAACUCUUCUUGACUAAGUCUCUUGGUAACUGGUGAUACUUCAACAAACAUAUUCUGGAACACUGUCCGCAAUCUGCUGCAAAAACCAACAGCAGCUCAAGUUGCCCGUCAUCACCCAAAACCCAUACUGCUUGAUACUGGCGAGAUUAGUUUCCCAUAUCUAUGGCAACCACAGAUUAUUGAAGUGCAAAUCUUGAGACUUGGUCAGCUUGCCAUCAUUGCUGUUCCAGCAGAGUUCACUUUCAAGUUGUGUUGACGUAAGCGGUGAAACACGCAUUGCAGAUGAUUCAGGUGUUCUUCAAGCGUCUCGGAAUAUAUCAGUAUGUCAUCAAGACACUAAAAGCUGGUGGUUUUCCUGCUGACACUUUAUCUGUUAUUGCUGGUUUGUCCAAUGAUUAUGGCGAUUAUGUUGCAACAUAUGAAGAAUACCAGAUUCAGAGGUAUGAAGGGGCAUCUGAAUUUGAAAGAGAAAUGAUGAUCCAACAACUUAUCACUAUUCUGAAUUUCAAGCAUCCUGCUGGGGAUAUGCAGUCCUGCCAGGUGCCCCUGUGCCUGGCAGAAUUUAAAUUUUGAGUGAAAGUCUGUGUCCAUCUGUGAUAUUUGUAUUUUUGCAUGGUUCUUUACACUGUUUUCAUUUCAAUCUUGAAUUCUUAUAUUGAUGUUGAUCAUCACUUUAUUUGUUUGCAUUACCAUAGUUUGACACCCAAUAGCCGAUGUAUUUUUCAUGCUGGGGUGUCAUUAAACAUUCAUUCAUUCUGCCAGGUGCAGUAGGAUGUAGGUCAGUAGUUCAGCUCUGGUUGGGGGUUUUCUGUCCCCUUUACCCCAAGACUGGUACAUCAAAGGUUGUGGUAUGUACUGUCCUGUCUUUGGAAAAUUGCCUAUAAAAGAUCCUUUGCUGGUUUUUCAUAGGGGGCGGUGUUAUGUAACUUUAUAUGCCUGUACCUUUUAGAAAUGUGAGGUUAUAUAUUAUAAACAUAAUGCAUGCCUAUUUUGAUGAUUUUGUUAAGUAUAAACCCCCCUGUACAUUAGCUCCGAAAGUUAAUGGGGUGCAUUUUCACUAAGUUUUUAAGAUAAGUUUCCCACCCCACGUUUUUUUUUUUACUAAAUACUUCAUUAUGAAGAUAUUAUUAAGAUGAUUAAUUAUAUAGGAAGAAUAUAUUAAAACAAUACGUCUGUUUUUAAUUAUUUCUAUUUAAUACCAUAAAGUUUCAAAAUAAAGCUAUAUUUUUCAUCUUUAUUUUGAAAGUUACAAUUCACUCACCAAUAAAAAGAAAAACACUUUCAUCAUCUCUAGUUGUAAUUUUAUCAUUUGAAACCCCUAUAGAGAGUUGAAC